UACAGAGGCCUCAAGCGUUGUUCGGAUUCAUUGGGCGUAAAGGGUGCGUAGGUGGCUUGGUAAGUUGAAGGUGAAAUCUCGGGGCUUAACUCCGAAACUGCCUUCAAUACUGCUGAGCUCGAGGAUUGUAGAGGAGAAUGGAAUUCACGGUGUAGCAGUGAAAUGCGUAGAGAUGUGGAGGAACACCGAUGGCGAAGGCAGCCCCCUGGGCUAACACUGACGCUCAUGCACGAAAGCGUGGGGAGCAAACAGG
rnacentral:rRNA from 1 species